GAUCCUGGCUCAGGAUGAACGCUGGCGGCAUGCCUAAUACAUGCAAGUCGAACGAGAGGAAGGAAAGCUUGCUUUUCUGAAUCUAGUGGCGAACGGGUGAGUAACACGUAGGUAACCUGCCCAUGUGCCCGGGAUAACUUCUGGAAACGGAUGCUAAAAACCGGAUAGGUAGCAGACAAGCAUUUGACUGCUAUUAAAGUGGCUAAGGCCAUGAACAUGGAUGGACCUGCGGUGCA
rnacentral:rRNA from 1 species